GUAGUUAAAUGUAAUGUUAGAAGGUACAGAAUUGUGAUCUCGUACAGUUUGUAACGCAUUUUUUUCGAUAGUUAUUAUCUGUAAUAAUUGGGGGAUCAUAAAGAUCUUAUCAGCGAGUUUUUGUUCUCGGAAGAGCUACACAUGAAUUUUAAAUAAUCGGACAUAGUGCGAUAAGGUUGUAUGUCAAUUGGGAAACAGCCCAAAACAAGAGUGAAUAAGGUUCCAAAAUUAUUAUUAAGUGAAACUAAAAUAGUAUCUAUCCCAAUCGACCAGGAAAUAGGCUUAGAAGCAGCCACUUUUUGAAGAUCUCGUAACAGAGCACUGGUUUUUAUUAAUUAGGAUAGAUGCAUUAAGAAUUUAACGGAUCUAAAUAAUAUACCAAAACCUUGUCUGUGUAUGUAGUGCAUGCUGCAUAUAUGGAGUAGCAGAACAUUGGGUAAAUUAUAUUACUCAUACUCUUUUUAAGGAAAUGAGGUUUUAUUAAAGUAAAAUAUCCCAAGUGAUAAUGCUGACAUGAGUAACGAUAAAGGGAAAAUCAAAUAGUUGAAUUAUCCCUUCGCCUGAAGCUUAUGGUAUUUUUUAAAGUCACGGCCUCUAAGUUGUAUCUUGUAUAUUUCUAUUGUAUUUAGUAAUAAGAUUAUACACCAAAAGGUAUAAAUGAUGAGAAAAUCUAUUGUUGUCAAAACGCAACGUAUUUUAAACUCUAUGUUGAUAAAGUGAAAUGCGUUCUGGAAAAUUGUUAACAUAGUAAUUAAUAAAUUUAUAACUCAAAUAUUUUUAAAUUAUUUAUACUAAAAUACACCGUACCUAAAUACUAACACAAGUAAGCAAGUAGAAUAUACGA
rnacentral:rRNA from 1 species